rnacentral:rRNA from 1 species
GCCCAUACUCUCGUCACGUCAACCAAAUCCAAUCCACCAAAGAUGGGCCUGAGCCCCUCGAAGCGCGUGGACGCGGCGCUCCGGCGGGCGCCGGCGUUCGCCGCCGGCUGCGACGCCGCCUUCGACCGCUGCCUCGCCGACGCCCAGCACGCCUUCUCCGGCGUCCGCCCCUACCAGCUCGCGGACGCGUCCGCGCACCUCCACUCGGCCCUGCGGGGCUCCCUCCCUAUCGUCCGCCGCUGGGUGCCCUCGCCGCCGCCGCGCGUGCGCGUAGACUCUGCGCUACGUGUCUCUGGCUUGGAAGGCGCUGCCGAGCUCUCGCGGGAUCAGUUCGGGGAGUUCGCGGCCGAGCUGUUCAGGGAGGCCGUGCUCGCCGGCGCGGCCGAGGCGGCGCUCGUCCGUGCCCCGGCCGGCGCGGCCGGGAUCCUCGGGGUGGCCAUCGUCUCCCGCGCCGGCGCCGGCGCGGCUGGGAAGUUGGUCGCUGUCUACACCGCCGGCGUCGCCGCCGCUGUUUACCUCAGCUUGGGCUAGGCCUUUGUUAAGCUGUAAAUCUGCACAAUAAACUGCUUGUACUACUCUGAUGUAAUCUGAAGAGAUGUUUCUUGCGUAGUAUGGUCAGUAUAAAUACAGUAUAAGAGAGAUUACCAACAACAGGAGAGCCUAGGCUUGAAGGGAGGCGAUCAAGGUUUCAAGUAGGGUUUGGUUUUCAGGUUUAGCCCUAAACUUCAGAAUCUCCAGGUCUCAAGUUAGUCCUCUCUUCCAGCUCAACAAAGUGAGUGCCAUCCUAUCAAAGUGACGUCUGUUCCUCUGCUUCCAUAUGGUCCAGGCCGCCAUGAUCGCAGCUUCUUUGAACAUGACCUGAUGCCAGCUUCUAGCCGCCAUAGCUAUCACUCCUGCAUACCUCUGGAGGUGUCCCGAUGAAUAUUCAAG